UCGGGAAUUUUGGGCAAUGGGCGAAAGCCUGACCCAGCAACGCCGCGUGAAGGAUGAAGUAUUUCGGUAUGUAAACUUCGAAAGAAUAGGAAGAAUAAAUGACGGUACUAUUUAUAAGGUCCGGCUAACUACGUGCCAGCAGCCGCGGUAAUACGUAGGGACCAAGCGUUGUUCGGAUUUACUGGGCGUAAAGGGCGCGUAGGCGGCUUGACAAGUCACUUGUGAAAUCUCUGGGCUUAACCCAGAACGGCCAAGUGAAACUGUCAUGCUAGAGUGCAGAAGGGGCAAUCGGAAUUCUUGGUGUAGCGGUGAAAUGCGUAGAUAUCAAGAGGAACACCUGAGGUGAAGACGAGUUGCUGGGCUGACACUGACGCUGAGGCGCGAAAGCCAGGGGAGCAAACGGGAUUAGAUACCCUAGUAGUCCCUGAGCGGGCUGGCAAGGCGCAU
rnacentral:rRNA from 1 species